UAAAUCAGACAGGUUGAUAGUGUG
rnacentral:piRNA from 1 species